CCUACGGGUGGCAGCAGUGGGGAAUAUUGCACAAUGGGCGCGAGCCUGAACCAGCCAAGUAGCGUGAAGGAAGACUGCCCUACGGGUUGUAAACUUCUUUUAUAAAGGAAUAAAGUGAGGCACGUGUGCCUUUUUGUAUGUACUUUAUGAAUAAGGAUCGGCUAACUCCGUGCCAGCAGCCGCGGUAAUACGGAGGAGCCGUGCGUUAUCCGGAUUUAUUGGGUUUAAAGGGAGCGUAGAUGGGUUGUUAAGGCCGUUGUGAAAGUUUGCGGCUCAACCGUAAAAUUGCAAUUGAUACUGGCAGUCUUGAGUACAGUUGCGGUAGGCGGAAUUCGUGGUGUAGCUGUGAAAUGCUUAGAUAUCAC
rnacentral:rRNA from 1 species